CCAAUAGCGUAUAUUAAAGUUGUUGCAGUUAAAAAGCUCGUAGUUGAAUUUCGGGAUUGACGUGACGGUCAUGCCUUAAGGGGUAUGAACUGUUACAGUUGAUUUCUCACCUUCUGGAGAAACUUGAUGUCCUUUAUUGGGUGUCUUGCGGAUCCAGGACCUUUACCUUGAAAAAAUUAGAGUGUUUAAAGCAGGCAUUUUUGCUCGAAUACAUUAGCAUGGAAUAAUAGAAUAGGACGGCAUGGUUCUAUUUUGUUGGUUUCUAGGAUCACCGUAAUGAUUAAUAGGGAUAGUUGGGGGCAUUAGUAUUCAAUUGUCAGAGGUGAAAUCCUUGGAUUUAUUGAAGACUAACUACUGCGAAAGCAUUUGCCAAGGAUGUUUUCAUUAAUCAAGAACGAAAGUUAGGGGAUCGAAGACGAUCAGAUACCGUCGUAGUCUUAACCAUAAACUAUGCCGACUAGGAAUCAGACGAUGUUAAUUUUUUAAUGACUCGUUUGGCACCUUACG
rnacentral:rRNA from 1 species